GUUGCUUUCCACAGGUGCUGUGUUUUGAGAGAGGACUGACUGACUGAGGUCCAGGAUUCCCUCUGUCGGCUCCAUCCUCCAAGGUCUUCCUCAAAUCCCAGUUCAUGUGGUGACGCUGUCUUUGAUUAUUCUACUUGAACAUGACUUCUCUUGUUCCCUCCGUCUUCAAAUGCCUGCUGUGCCAGUGAUUGGGAAGAUGAAGUGAGGUCCCUCACCAGGGCGAGCUCUUAGGUUGUAGAGAGCUCUUAGAGACCACACCCUGUGGAGAGCCUGGAUUGAUGUCCUGGUGCCCUCAGAAGUGAGGCUAACAGCUGCUCACCAUUUUGGAACCACUUUCCAAGUGCUGAGACUGAGACUGAACGCACAUCUCCCUGAAUUCCACAACCCUGUAGUGAGUCAGGCACAUGGCAGCAAUAACGGGGUCCCCGAGAUGACAUGGAAGAUGGAAACCAUGGGUGGCCAAAUCUGAUUUUGAAAGGCCUUCAGAAGGCAGGCAUCACCGUGGGCACUGACAGAGGACCACUCAGUAGAAGCAGAGAGGCUGACCCCUUCCUCUGACACUGUGACAGAUGGUGCAUGUGUGCGCGCACACGUGCGCGUGUGGGCUUACACAUGCGUGGAGCUUUGGAUGAAGAAGUGAACUUGUAUUUAGAGGCCACCAUGUUGCAUGGACAUUUUGCUUUUAGACACAGGACUCCCCCAUGCCAACGAGCUGCUCAGUCUAUGAGAAGUACACAGAAUCCCAGACGGAGGAAGAAAGCAGCAGAUUCCCAUCUCCUACCUCAGGGGAUGUGCUCCUUGGCUAGAAUAUGUGGUAGGAUCAGUAGAACACAGGAGCCAACAGUCAGCACAUAAGGUGGAAACCCAGUGAAUAGAAUAUAUAGCAUCGUCAAAUAGAAAUUGUUAAAU
rnacentral:lncRNA from 1 species